GAGAAAAAUGGGUUGGAAAAUUCAACUCUCUUUUUCAAAUCCUAUUUAAAACAGUAACGUAAUUAUAAUCAUAAUGACGCAUCAACGUAAGCGCGAAAAUGUAUACAUCAAUUAUUGAUACGGCACUGUACGAAAAUCCAACACUAACAUCACAAAUUUUCGAAAUGAACGAAAACAUAAAUAUGUAGUCCCUUUAUACUUAUAGAUUUCAGUUAGACCCUUUAAGAUGUGCCCUUUUGAGAUUUGACAUUUCAAUUAAAUCUUUUUCGAGAUACUUUGAGCGGUGAACCCAAUUACUAUUAACGAUCAAAGCUCAGCAAAUUUUCAUCAAUACCGCUUUUUAUAAUGUCUGGACGAGCAACCUUUCGAAAUCAACUACACCGUAAAGCCCUGACGCCACUAACGAACGAUUCCACAGAGGAGUAUACUUGGUGACCAAAUGGAAUUCAAAGAAUGGCUUAGAGGAAGAAGCAAUUUUCCUCUUCCUGACUCUUCCUGUGAUUACUGGAUCAAAUUGAGAAUCCGAAUCAUCAUCCUCUGAUAAAACAGAGAAAGGAUUUUCUGAAGCCUCGGGUACCUGAGGUGAACCUGCCUUGAGCAUAUCAGCGAAGGAUCGAUUGGAACGAUCCUUAAGUGAUUGCUUGAGUUUCAUCGAACGUAAUUUGUAUUUCGGACAAUCCUUAAUUGUAUGAGGAACAUCUCCACAAAAAAUACCACAUUUUGAGCAUUUCGUUUUAUUACAACAGGGUAUAUAACCGAACUGGAAGACGAAGUUUGUCGAUAAGCACAUAAUUUGGAAGUGCUGUGCCUUCGAAGGAAAUUCUAAAAGAGCCAGAUGGAUAAUACUUUUUUUCUGUACCCUCAGAUAUCAAAGAGUUCAGAGAUCUCACCUCCAAAACUUUAAUAUGUGGAAUAUUUGCAUUGUGAAAGAUACCCUUAGCUUUUACAAAAUCUUGAAGUUGAAGAGAUUUUUCCGUAACUACACCAUCGAUUUCAACAAUGUGAGCCGGAAUAUAAACUCUAUAUUCAUUAGAGAACAAAGAGUUUUUCACUAUCGCGUUAGCAUCUUUGUAAUUUGAGAGCACAACACGAAGUUUAUCUUUAUUGCCUUUCGUCAUUUCUAAGACACCUGAGUAGUUAGACGUCAGGUCUUUGCAAAUUUGAGAUACUCUUAGAGGUUUCCCUUUGGGACGGAAGAAUACCACCCAACGGUUUUUCAAUGAUGCCGGGGCGUUCUGGUAUUGUCUAAUACGUGGAAGUUGAGCAGAAUUAGGCAGAGAUUGUGUCGAAGAGCGGAGAACAGAGUCACUAUUUGGUACAGACGAAGAGUUUGACUGCGAUUGUUUUUGUUUUUUUCCUGUAGAAACCGUUAAACCAUCUGGAGGAGGGUCUGAGACCCUUAUUUCAGCAUCGGAGGUUUCAUUACCCUCCAUUUUUCAAAAAAAAAAAGUCGUAAAAAUGAGAGAGAAGAUUUUUUAGAACACGCAAAUAUUAAAUGAUAAAAUUAAAAAAAAAUAAAUAAAUAAAUAAAAUAAAAUGAAAUAUGUGUAUGUAUAUGUAUAUGUAUACGUAUGCGUGAAAGAAAAAUAAAACGAAAACUUAUCUUAAAUGUAUCUAGAUGAAUGUCAGAGAACUUCUAAAAUCCUUGAAGCGGGUCCAAUGGAAGCUUCACACUCCAAAAAAACACUUGAAAAAUAAUUCCGACUUCAAGAAAAAUCCUUUCUUUUCAGUAUAUCGUCCCGGCUUCUUUCGAAAUUCCGUCAAAAAAAAAAUUUUUGAAUAUUGAUUUUCCAGAGACAGGGGAUCUUCAGAAAUUCUGCUCCAAGGGUCAAUACAGCGGGAAGUUCACAACUUCUUCCGGAAAUAGUCUUUCAAACACUGAAAUGGCUUACAAGAAAAAGUCACAAAGAAAAUCUGCAAUAUUCGUUAUGAUGAAAAUUAUACGUCACCUUUAUUCCACGGAUUGCUGAUGUAAGACAUUUCUCGUUGUCGGGCUAGUUUUCUGUAGCUCCGCUCGCGUUAUGGAGAUGCGCCGACCGAGGGGUCGUAACAGUAAUGGAGGACGAUGUCCCCAUCUAACGAGAUUAAGAAACAGAGGCGAGCUCAAGCCGCCGAAGUUACGUAAUCCGAUUCGGCAGCUGAUAUAUGAAUGCGUUGCGAAACUUUUUACCCUGUUUGUUGGUGGUACGUACGAAUCUGAGACAAGACAUGAGAACUGGCUUCUUACUCUUCUUUUUGCCUUUUCCUCGACCAAGCGCGAAAAAUAGGGACGCCGAAACAUAUGAUUUCGUAUCAUAUAUUCAUGAAUAGUUUCAUUUGGUUGAUCUAGUGCAACAUUGGUGGAUAUUUUUCAACAAAUUAUUUUUUUUUCUGUUAUGCUUUGUCAUGAAAACUAAUUUAAGAGUAUUUGCCAUGAAUACAUUAUGUGGAAGUGUAUUUUCAAAUAUUAUUGGCAACUCUUUAGAAUUUACCUACCAGCAAUCGGUCCGGAAUCGACCCCUCUAUUGACUAGUCUCAUCUCAGGUACGAACGAAAGUAUGAUGGGUACAUGCGGAGCGUUCACCGAGUGAUAGAAGCAAAGCGGAGCAUAGUAUUGCAGGCUGCGUAAGAGCCUUGCAGUCUGUGUAAGAACGGUAUGAAGUGUGUAUGAAGUGUGUAUUCGAAGCGGUAACCGAGUGGUGGAACCUAGGCGGAGCAUAGUCUCGUCUGCCGGCGUAAGAAGGAUACACGAUAGCGCGCAUGAAGGGGGCAUGCGAUCAUAUGCAACUCAUCAUAUACAUUUCACGAGUUGCUAGGGAAAUAACGGUUCAGCCGUACGCUGCUGUGACACAAUAAAGUUAAACUACUGUGAGGGUGUCAUGGUACCACACAGGCUCUGUUAGCAACAGAGUAUUUCUUGAACCCCCGCGAUCAUAUAUCCAUGCAUUUCCUUGUGAUUGGGCUUACUCAUAUGAUUUAACAGAGAUUAGGGUCAAUUAAAGUGCGAUUCACAUACAACAUCCACGUCACGUUCACGUCCCGUCACGUUCCGUUACGUCAGUUAUUCUACCAUGCAAUUCUUAUGAAAACAUUCACAUACAUCGGCAACGUAACGACCCGUCAGCAUACCUUCAAGGAAAACGAACGGCAUGAUUUGUAGACAAGAAUAAUUGACGGAGAGGGACCGUUCAUUAGGUUUUUGUCUGGGCUUUGUGUCUCGGCUUUUGUUUUGAUUUUGGUUGUAUUUUCUAUGACAACAUAUCUCUUAGUUCCAAAUUUCGGAGUUAAAAUCUUCCGCGACUAGCUGAGAUAUAUAUUAUUAUUGAUGAAUAACAGUCGGGACUUCGGGAUUUAAGCAAUUAAAUAAUAUAAUUCAAUGAUUUUCAUUGAUUUUUUCUAAAUUUAGAACUGAUUCUAGGCAUACCGAUUCGAAAGAGGGCAUUAUAAUUUAAAAUCGUUGUAGGUGGCGACACCUUGAAUAACAUUAAAAAAAUCAUUCGUUUGACAUUUUACGUGACAGUGCUAGUGCAAGCAUUGACUGCAUGCGUGAAUUGGUGGAGACGUUGACGGAACGUAGACGUUCUUUUUCGUAAUGUUCUAUGUAAAUCGCACAUAACUCUAACGUUGCGCGUUUCCCGGCUUGUGACCAACAAUAGAAUCGCUCAAUAAUUUAAUGUUUCCAAUCGUUAAUCGAGGCUAUCCGUAGGCUGAGGAAAUAAUCUGAUUCGGGUUCGAAGCAUAAACACAGUUUAUAUGAAUAUUUUUACUGCGCGGUUUCUUCCUCGGGAACAAUUUCAAAGCGAUCGGAGUUGGCUUGCACAGAGCAAAAUGGAAAAACAUUGAAGGUGUAGUUACACUUUUUAUAACCCCAGCUGCCACCACGUUCUAACCUAUCCGCGUUGAUGGUAUUGACAGCUCAGCAAAUUUUCAUCAAUACCGCUUUUUAUAAUGUCUGGACGAGCAACCUUUCGAAAUCAACUACACCGUAAAGCCCUGACGCCACUAACGAACGAUUCCACAGAGGAGUAUACUUGGUGACCAAAUGGAAUUCAAAGAAUGGCUUAGAGGAAGAAGCAAUUUUCCUCUUCCUGACUCUUCCUGUGAUUACUGGAUCAAAUUGAGAAUCCGAAUCAUCAUCCUCUGAUAAAACAGAGAAAGGAUUUUCUGAAGCCUCGGGUACCUGAGGUGAACCUGCCUUGAGCAUAUCAGCGAAGGAUCGAUUGGAACGAUCCUUAAGUGAUUGCUUGAGUUUCAUCGAACGUAAUUUGUAUUUCGGACAAUCCUUAAUUGUAUGAGGAACAUCUCCACAAAAAAUACCACAUUUUGAGCAUUUCGUUUUAUUACAACAGUAGGUUUUAGUGUGACCUAACUGAUUGCAAUUUAAGCAAAUCAUUAUUUUAGGGGUAUAUAACCGAACUGGAAGACGAAGUUUGUCGAUAAGCACAUAAUUUGGAAGUGCUGUGCCUUCGAAGGAAAUUCUAAAAGAGCCAGAUGGAUAAUACUUUUUUUCUGUACCCUCAGAUAUCAAAGAGUUCAGAGAUCUCACCUCCAAAACUUUAAUAUGUGGAAUAUUUGCAUUGUGAAAGAUACCCUUAGCUUUUACAAAAUCUUGAAGUUGAAGAGAUUUUUCCGUAACUACACCAUCGAUUUCAACAAUGUGAGCCGGAAUAUAAACUCUAUAUUCAUUAGAGAACAAAGAGUUUUUCACUAUCGCGUUAGCAUCUUUGUAAUUUGAGAGCACAACACGAAGUUUAUCUUUAUUGCCUUUCGUCAUUUCUAAGACACCUGAGUAGUUAGACGUCAGGUCUUUGCAAAUUUGAGAUACUCUUAGAGGUUUCCCUUUGGGACGGAAGAAUACCACCCAACGGUUUUUCAAUGAUGCCGGGGCGUUCUGGUAUUGUCUAAUACGUGGAAGUUGAGCAGAAUUAGGCAGAGAUUGUGUCGAAGAGCGGAGAACAGAGUCACUAUUUGGUACAGACGAAGAGUUUGACUGCGAUUGUUUUUGUUUUUUUCCUGUAGAAACCGUUAAACCAUCUGGAGGAGGGUCUGAGACCCUUAUUUCAGCAUCGGAGGUUUCAUUACCCUCCAUUUUUCAAAAAAAAAAAGUCGUAAAAAUGAGAGAGAAGAUUUUUUAGAACACGCAAAUAUUAAAUGAUAAAAUUAAAAAAAAAUAAAUAAAUAAAUAAAAUAAAAUGAAAUAUGUGUAUGUAUAUGUAUAUGUAUACGUAUGCGUGAAAGAAAAAUAAAACGAAAACUUAUCUUAAAUGUAUCUAGAUGAAUGUCAGAGAACUUCUAAAAUCCUUGAAGCGGGUCCAAUGGAAGCUUCACACUCCAAAAAAACACUUGAAAAAUAAUUCCGACUUCAAGAAAAAUCCUUUCUUUUCAGUAUAUCGUCCCGGCUUCUUUCGAAAUUCCGUCAAAAAAAAAAUUUUUGAAUAUUGAUUUUCCAGAGACAGGGGAUCUUCAGAAAUUCUGCUCCAAGGGUCAAUACAGCGGGAAGUUCACAACUUCUUCCGGAAAUAGUCUUUCAAACACUGAAAUGGCUUACAAGAAAAAGUCACAAAGAAAAUCUGCAAUAUUCGUUAUGAUGAAAAUUAUACGUCACCUUUAUUCCACGGAUUGCUGAUGUAAGACAUUUCUCGUUGUCGGGCGAGUUUUCUGUAGCUCCGCUCGCGUUAUGGAGAUGCGCCGACCGAGGGGUCGUAACAGUAAUGGAGGACGAUGUCCCCAUCUAACGAGAUUAAGAAACAGAGGCGAGCUCAAGCCGCCGAAGUUACGUAAUCCGAUUCGGCAGCUGAUAUAUGAAUGCGUUGCGAAACUUUUUACCCUGUUUGUUGGUGGUACGUACGAAUCUGAGACAAGACAUGAGAACUGGCUUCUUACUCUUCUUUUUGCCUUUUCCUCGACCAAGCGCGAAAAAUAGGGACGCCGAAACAUAUGAUUUCGUAUCAUAUAUUCAUGAAUAGUUUCAUUUGGUUGAUCUAGUGCAACAUUGGUGGAUAUUUUUCAACAAAUUAUUUUUUUUUCUGUUAUGCUUUGUCAUGAAAACUAAUUUAAGAGUAUUUGCCAUGAAUACAUUAUGUGGAAGUGUAUUUUCAAAUAUUAUUGGCAACUCUUUAGAAUUUACCUACCAGCAAUCGGUCCGGAAUCGACCCCUCUAUUGACUAGUCUCAUCUCAGGUACGAACGAAAGUAUGAUGGGUACAUGCGGAGCGUUCACCGAGUGAUAGAAGCAAAGCGGAGCAUAGUAUUGCAGGCUGCGUAAGAGCCUUGCAGUCUGUGUAAGAACGGUAUGAAGUGUGUAUGAAGUGUGUAUUCGAAGCGGUAACCGAGUGGUGGAACCUAGGCGGAGCAUAGUCUCGUCUGCCGGCGUAAGAAGGAUACACGAUAGCGCGCAUGAAGGGGGCAUGCGAUCAUAUGCAACUCAUCAUAUACAUUUCACGAGUUGCUAGGGAAAUAACGGUUCAGCCGUACGCUGCUGUGACACAAUAAAGUUAAACUACUGUGAGGGUGUCAUGGUACCACACAGGCUCUGUUAGCAACAGAGUAUUUCUUGAACCCCCGCGAUCAUAUAUCCAUGCAUUUCCUUGUGAUUGGGCUUACUCAUAUGAUUUAACAGAGAUUAGGGUCAAUUAAAGUGCGAUUCACAUACAACAUCCACGUCACGUUCACGUCCCGUCACGUUCCGUUACGUCAGUUAUUCUACCAUGCAAUUCUUAUGAAAACAUUCACAUACAUCGGCAACGUAACGACCCGUCAGCAUACCUUCAAGGAAAACGAACGGCAUGAUUUGUAGACAAGAAUAAUUGACGGAGAGGGACCGUUCAUUAGGUUUUUGUCUGGGCUUUGUGUCUCGGCUUUUGUUUUGAUUUUGGUUGUAUUUUCUAUGACAACAUAUCUCUUAGUUCCAAAUUUCGGAGUUAAAAUCUUCCGCGACUAGCUGAGAUAUAUAUUAUUAUUGAUGAAUAACAGUCGGGACUUCGGGAUUUAAGCAAUUAAAUAAUAUAAUUCAAUGAUUUUCAUUGAUUUUUUCUAAAUUUAGAACUGAUUCUAGGCAUACCGAUUCGAAAGAGGGCAUUAUAAUUUAAAAUCGUUGUAGGUGGCGACACCUUGAAUAACAUUAAAAAAAUCAUUCGUUUGACAUUUUACGUGACAGUGCUAGUGCAAGCAUUGACUGCAUGCGUGAAUUGGUGGAGACGUUGACGGAACGUAGACGUUCUUUUUCGUAAUGUUCUAUGUAAAUCGCACAUAACUCUAACGUUGCGCGUUUCCCGGCUUGUGACCAACAAUAGAAUCGCUCAAUAAUUUAAUGUUUCCAAUCGUUAAUCGAGGCUAUCCGUAGGCUGAGGAAAUAAUCUGAUUCGGGUUCGAAGCAUAAACACAGUUUAUAUGAAUAUUUUUACUGCGCGGUUUCUUCCUCGGGAACAAUUUCAAAGCGAUCGGAGUUGGCUUGCACAGAGCAAAAUGGAAAAACAUUGAAGGUGUAGUUACACUUUUUAUAACCCCAGCUGCCACCACGUUCUAACCUAUCCGCGUUGAUGGUAUUGACAGCUCAGCAAAUUUUCAUCAAUACCGCUUUUUAUAAUGUCUGGACGAGCAACCUUUCGAAAUCAACUACACCGUAAAGCCCUGACGCCACUAACGAACGAUUCCACAGAGGAGUAUACUUGGUGACCAAAUGGAAUUCAAAGAGUACGUCGACUGGAUGGAGUAUCCAACUAUUAACAACGGACCAGAUCAAUGCGUGGGUUGUUCCAUAUCUGGAAGCAUAUGAAACUUAUGUCUAUGUAAAAGCAUACCAGAUAUAUGCGAUAUGCAAUAGUUGUGAUUUAACUCAAUUUGAUCAACGUGAACAUUUUUUUUUUGAGAGAUUUUAUAAUCGGAAGAAAUUUUUUGUUAACAAUAUAUUUACAUUGGUACAUA